rnacentral:rRNA from 1 species
UCCCUACGGGGCGCAGCAGGCGCGAAAACUUUACAAUGCGGGAAACCGUGAUAAGGGGACACCGAGUGCCAGCAUCAUAUGCUGGCUGUCCGGAUGUGUAAAAUACAUCCGUUAGCAAGGGCCGGGCAAGACCGGUGCCAGCCGCCGCGGUAACACCGGCGGCCCGAGUGGUGAUCGUGAUUAUUGGGUCUAAAGGGUCCGUAGCCGGUUUGGUCAGUCCUCCGGGAAAUCUGAUAGCUUAACUAUUAGGCUUUCGGGGGAUACUGCCAAACUUGGAACCGG